GACGUAGGGUCCAAGCGUUUGUCCGGAUUUACUGGGCGUAAAGAGCGCGUAGGCGGCUCGUUAAGUGUGAAGUGAAAUCUCUAGGGCUCAACCCAGAAACUGCUUUACAUACUGGCGAGCUGGAGUGAUGCAGAGGUUUGUGGAAUUCCUGGUGUAGCGGUGAAAUGCGUUGAUAUCAGGAGGAACACCCAUGGCGAAGGCAGCAAACUGGGCAUUAACUGACGCUGAGGCGCGAAAGCGUGGGUAGCAAACAGG
rnacentral:rRNA from 1 species